rnacentral:rRNA from 1 species
CGGGUGGCUUUACCAAUGAAAGUCGACGGUAAGGCCCCUUCGGGGGUCACGAGUGGCGAACGGGUGAGUAACACGUGAGCAACCUGCCCUUGACUCUGGGAUAACAGCUGGAAACAGCUGCUAAUACCGGAUACGACCUUCGGUGACAUCACCUGGAGGUGGAAAGCCCUGGCGGUCAAGGAUGGGCUCGCGGCCUAUCAGCUUGUUGGUGAGGUAACGGCUCACCAAGGCUUCGACGGGUAGCCGGCCUGAGAGGGCGACCGGCCACACUGGGACUGAGAUACGGCCCAGACUCCUACGGGAGGCAGCAGUGGGAAUAUUGCACAAUGGGCGAAAGCCUGAUGCAGCAGAGGAGGCGUGCGGGAUGACGGCCUUCGGGUUGUAAACCGCUUUCAGUUCCGACGAAGCGCAAGUGACGGUAGGAACAGAAGAAGGACCGGCCAACUACGUGCCAGCAGCCGCGGUAAUAAUCUAGAUGCA